rnacentral:rRNA from 1 species
GCGAAGAACCUUACCUACCCUUGACAUGUGCGGAACGGGGUAGAGAUACCUCGGUGCCCGAAAGGGAACCGCAACACAGGUGCUGCAUGGCUGUCGUCAGCUCGUGUCGUGAGAUGUUGGGUUAAGUCCCGCAACGAGCGCAACCCUUGUCAUUAGUUGCCACAUUCAGUUGGGCACUCUAGGGAGACUGCCGGUGUCAAACCGGAGGAAGGUGGGGAUGACGUCAAGUCCUCAUGGCCCUUAUGUCCAGGGCUACACACGUGCUACAAUGGCCGGUACAAAGGGAAGCAAGACCGCGAGGUGGAGCGAAUCCCAAAAAGCCGGUCUCAGUUCGGAUUGGAGUCUGCAACUCGAUUCCAUGAAGUUGGAAUCGCUAGUAAUCGCGCAUCAGCAUGGCGCGGUGAAUACGUUCCCGGGUCUUGUACACACGC